rnacentral:rRNA from 1 species
ACCCUUUAAUGUUUGAUGUUCUAACGUUGACCCGUAAUCCGGGUUGCGGACAGUGUCUGGUGGGUAGUUUGACUGGGGCGGUCUCCUCCUAAAGAGUAACGGAGGAGCACGAAGGUUGGCUAAUCCUGGUCGGACAUCAGGAGGUUAGUGCAAUGGCAUAAGCCAGCUUGACUGCGAGCGUGACGGCGCGAGCAGGUGCGAAAGCAGGUCAUAGUGAUCCGGUGGUUCUGAAUGGAAGGGCCAUCGCUCAACGGAUAAAAGGUACUCCGGGGAUAACAGGCUGAUACCGCCCAAGAGUUCAUAUCGACGGCGGUGUUUGGCACCUCGAUGUCGGCUCAUCACAUCCUGGGGCUGAAGUAGGUCCCAAGGGUAUGGCUGUUCGCCAUUUAAAGUGGUACGCGAGCUGGGUUUAGAACGUCGUGAGACAGUUCGGUCCCUAUCUGCCGUGGGCGCUGGAGAACUGAGGGGGGCUGCUCCUAGUACGAGAGGACCGGAGUGGACGCAUCACUGGUGUUCGGGUUGUCAUGCCAAUGGCACUGCCCGGUAGCUAAAUGCGGAAGAGAUAAGUGCUGAAAGCAUCUAAGCACGAAACUUGCCCCGAGAUGAGUUCUCCCUGACUCCUUGAGAGUCCUGAAGGAACGUUGAAGACGACGACGUUGAUAGGCCGGGUGUGUAAGCGCAGCGAUGCGUUGAGCUAACCGGUACUAAUGAACCGUGAGGCUUAACCUUACAACGCCGAAGGUGUUU